GAGUUUGAUCCUGGCUCAGGAUGAACGCUAGCGGAACGCCUAACACAUGCAAGUCAAACGGUCGCCUCGGCGACAGUGGCAAACGAGCGAGUAACGCGUACCUAAUCUGCCCUUGAGUUGGGAACAACUACGGAGACGUAGCUAAUUCCCAAUGUGCUCACGACGGUGAAAUUCCGAUGUGAGGAAAGAUUUAUCGCUCAAGGAGGGGGGUGCGUCCUAUCAGGUUGUUGGUAGGGUAAUAGCCUACCAAGCCUAUGACGGGUAGCCGGUCUGAGAGGAUGUCCGGCCGCGAUGGGACUGAGAUACGGCCCAUACUCCUACGGGAGGCAGCAGUGGGGAAUUUUGCACAAUGGACGCAAGUCUGAUGCAGCGAUUCCGCGUGGAGGAUGAAGCAUUACGGUGUGUAAACUCCUUUUCUGGUGGAAGACGAAUGAUGGUACACCAGGAAUAAGAGACGGCUAACUACGUGCCAGCAGCCGCGGUAAUACGUAGGUCUCAAGCGUUAUCCGGAUUUACUGGGCGUAAAGAGUCCGUAGCCCGAUAUGUAAGUCAGUUUUCAGAUACCCCGACUCAAUCGGGGAAAGGGAAUAGAUACUGCAUAUCUAGAGAGUAUUGGAGGUUAGUGGAAUUUCCGGUGGAGCGGUGAAAUGCGCUGAUAUCGGAAAGAACGCCGAAAGCGAAAGCAGCUAACUAUGAUCACUCUGACGGUGAGGGACGACAGCAUGGGGAGCAAACGGGAUUAGAUAUCCCGGUAGUCCAUGCCGUAAAUUAUGUCUGCUAGGUGUUUCUCCGGUAAUUAUAUUUGUAUCGUAUAAAUGUAAUUACCGGAGGAGUGCCGUAAUCUAACGAGUUAAGCAGAUCGCCUGGGUAGUAUAUUCGCAAGAAUGAAACUCAAAGGGAUAGGCGGGGGAAC
rnacentral:rRNA from 1 species